CCGACAUCUUUGACGCCGUCCCCUUUGCAUGCAGAGGUACAACCCGAAGGAAUUCCGACAGAGAAAGUCGUCAUCUCUUGGCUGUCUAGGUGCAAUGGGACUCCAAAGAACAUAUCUGACAAGUCCACAGCUGCUAGCCAUUUGGGUGCGGCCCAUCUUGUCUUAUCUGUAAGAAUAUGUCCUGAACUGGCCCAGGCUGAGACGGGGUCUCGCUAUAUGUCUUCUACACUAGCUCUGCUGUCUCACAGGCUCAUUACAGGUAAUCACACUUGAGCAGACUGGCCCCUGCAAGAUGGCUUGAAAAAGUCCCAUUGUGUGAGGGGACGUGCUGGUUCUCAGGAGAGGGUCCCUCCUGCUCCCUUCCGGGUGUGCAGGGUCACCUGAAGACCACUUGCCCUCCUGUGUGGGAGGGGUUGUCCC